rnacentral:tRNA from 1 species
ACUCAAAUAGCUUAUAUUUAGAGCGUGACAUUGAAGAUGUUAAGGAAAUAUUUUAUUUUUGAGUA